GACGAACGCUGGCGGCGUGCUUAACACAUGCAAGUCGAACGAAGUGGCGAACGGGUGAGUAACGCGUAAUCAACCUGCACUUCAGAGGGGGACAACAGGUGGCAACGUCUGCUACUACCGCAUACAGAAGGAGGGGAUUGCGUCUGAUUAGCUAUUUGGAGGGGUAACGGCCCACCCAGGCGAUGAUCAGUAGCCGGUCUGAGAGGAUGAACGGCCACAUUGGGACUGAGACACGGCCCAGACGCCUACGGGAGGCAGCAGUGGGGAAUCUUCCGCAAUGGACGAAAGUCUGACGGAGCAACGCCGCGUGAGUGAUGACGGCCUUCGGGUUGUAAAGCUCUGUUAAUCGGGACGCGGUACCGGAAUAGAAAGCCACGGCUAACUACGUGCCAGCAGCCGCGGUAAUAC
rnacentral:rRNA from 1 species